rnacentral:tRNA from 1 species
GACUUUUUAACUAUCUAUAAGUAUAUAUUUUGAAAAUAUAAAAAAGAAUUUCAUUCUAAAAGUCU